UACGUAGGGCGCAAGCGUUGUCCGGAAUUAUUGGGCGUAAAGAGCUCGUAGGCGGUCUGUCGCGUCUGCCGUGAAAUCCCGAGGCUUAACCUCGGGCCUGCGGUGGAUACGGGCAGACUAGAGGUAGGUAGGGGAGAAUGGAAUUCCCGGUGUAGCGGUGAAAUGCGCAGAUAUCGGGAGGAACACCGGUGGCGAAGGCGGUUCUCUGGGCCUUACCUGACGCUGAGGAGCGAAAGCGUGGGGAGCGAACAGG
rnacentral:rRNA from 1 species